GAUGAAGAACGUAGCGAAAUGCGAUACGUAAUGUGAAUUGCAGAAUUCAGUGAAUCAUCGAGUCUUUGAACGCACAUUGCGCCCCCUGGUAUUCCGGGGGGCAUGCCUGUCCGAGCGUCAUUCCUGCCCUCAAGCACGGCUUGUGUGUUGGGCCUCCGUCCUCCUCCCGGGGGACGGGCCCGAAAGGCAGCGGCGGCACCGCGUCCGGUCCUCGAGCGUAUGGGGCUUCGUCACCCGCUCUUGUAGGCCCGGCCGGCGCUUGCCGACACAUCAAUCUUUUUUCCAGGUUGACCUCGGAUCAGGUAGGGAUACCCGCUGAACUUAAGCAUAUCAAUAAGCGGAGGA
rnacentral:misc_RNA from 1 species